ensembl:lncRNA
UGAGCACUGUGGCAACGGCAGGUGAGGGCAAUCCUGGAUCAAUCAGCAGAAGCAGGAGCAGGUGUGCCAGAGCCAAUCAGCUGACUUCUCCUACACAAUAUAACCUGACUCCACUCUUUAGUCAACGCCGGAUCGUGAAUGCCCAACAUUCGGACCAACCACCUGCUCCUGCUGCCAACCCAUUCCUACUCACCAGGAUUCGUCUACACCCCCGUCCUUUGUCUACAUCUCUGGAAAUCUCCUGGAACAUCUCCACCACCUCCCAACCUCCGUCCGAGCCUCCACCGCCGUCGCAGCCGCGACCGUCUGACACAGCCCAACAGAACCCCCCUGCCUCGUCUGGUUCUCUGCCUCCCAGCUUCCUAGCUGUCCGCCGUCAGUUCUGUCUCAGUUACGAGCAGUCUCAGUCUUGGUUAAUUAUUAUCGCAGGUUUGUAUAAAGUUUUCUGGUUCAUUCUAAGUUGUGAAGUAAUGUAAUCUCCGGAUUUCCAGUUGAUCUAGUUUUGGUUUAUUGCGGAAAGUUCUCUAGUUCUUGUAUUUUUCUUGGAGCAAAUCUUGUUUCAUAGUAGUAACUGUUUUUGCUGACUUCUAGUUUCAUAUUCUGAGGUCCCUGUGAGCAUAAUCGCUCUUUAGUUUAGGAAAUUCUUGUAGGCUACAGUCUUAGUUUUCACUCUCCUGCCCAGGUAUUACCUGCCGUGGGUCAGUUCUCUUGUUGAUAAAUACUCUUUGUUUAGUCUUCCAGCCACUAGAGGCCCUGUAGUUCUCAGUAGUCGUUACUGUUUCCAUUUCCCCUUUCUGGGAACACACUUCCGUUGGGAGUUGGAGUCUUUGUGUAUUUUCUUGUUGUAAAUAAACCAUUGAAUCUGCAACUGCUCAACUCCUUCUCUUUCCUGCGCCUGAGCCUCAGAGAAAACCUAACAGUCUGCCUUGCAACAAUGGGAAAGAGGCACCGUUUAUGUUUUGACAACCUAUAUCUAACGAGUUAUUGAUGCUGGAAGUCCGAAUCUGUGAAUGUCUUUGCAACUUUACCGAAUUUGGGGUCACUACCACCCAAGGAGUGAUGUAUUUAAGUUUGGAAAAAAACAUUUAGCCAUACUGACAGCUUUAAGUGCUUUAUUAACACGGAACUAAAAAUUUUGUAUUGUUUUAUUAUCACAGGUUCUGUCUGAAAAGAGGUGGCAUCAUUUUAAACAGUAAAAUCAAACUAAUAAAAUGUAAUGACCAACCAGUGAGCAAUACUGGAUUCUGCAAAAACAUAAACAACUUUUUAAAAAAAAUCUUAUCUUAACACAGUUAAUGUAUUAACUUAUUUUUGUGUGUAUGCAUGUAUUUAUUUAGUACUGUUAACACAUCAGAGUUCUGAGUGAGUUUUUCUUAAGAUAGGCAAAGGCCAUUUAUUGAUUACAUAUAGGCUAUUAAAUGUUUAUUAAAAACUAAAAAGCAUUUUAAAAAAACAACUUAGGCAUUUAUUGAGUCACUAAAAUACUGUAGAGUACAGACCACAUCAGCAUGAUUAUAAGCAUCCUCUGGUAAAUUAACAACCAGAUACUGAUGUCUCUCACCAUAUGGACUUCAGGAGAUGACUGGGGGAUGAUAAACUGUGACCUACUGGUUGGGUUCUCUCUGUUCUCAUGUUUCUUACAUGUUUGUCCCCUGACAGCCGGGUCCUAAUGUUUUUUGAGCAACACACCAUACUAUGACGUUUUUACAAUGACGGUUCUACUAUGGAACCAGUUUGACAUGUUCAGGCGUUCUUUGUGUGAAAACUCAGAGAUUUCAGGUAUCAGAAGGUGGUUUUCAACUUUCUUUGUUAACUUUCUGCCUCAACUUUAAACUAAAUUUCCUUCACUAAGCCAGCCCUCUGGACUUCCAGUAAGCUGUGUUCCUAUUGGCUGUCCAGGUGGCUGCUUGGUGUUAUCAGGAACACCUGAGCAGCUCAGUGUCUUCCUGCUUUAUUUAGCUGCAGACAAACAUUUCCUCUGCUUUUCUUCACCACAGAACCGGGUUUGGCUCCAUUGCUCUUGUUUGUUCUUUAGGCGUUGGCUUGCAGCUUCCAGCAAUAAAAUAGACUUUAAUGUGUUUCUUGGUGUGUUUUAGGGCUUUGUACUGGAUAGUUGUCUUGGUAAAUGUGGUUCUUUAGCCACAGUUAGCACAUGGUGCUAAUGUGUGCAGUGAUUAGUGGAUUUGCUGCAGCUGAGUUGUGUCUUUAUCUUGGCUGUAGUGAGUCUUCAGAGGUUUUUGGUCAGACACAUUCUGUAUUCUUGUUUGUGAAGCAACGUUGAUUGUCCAGAAGGUAAGAGUUCCUGUCCUGAUUCUCUGUUCUCAGAGGUUCUCUGGUAGGCUGCAGGAGACUUUAGCGUUUGGGUUGUGCUAGUUUGGUUUUUGUAUGGUUUCAUUUGGACGACUAUCUUGAGGCCCCUCCAUGUGGUUUAGUGAGGUUUUCUGCAACAGUUCUACAUAGCAACCUGCAGCAGAAGAGACUUUGAGAGUUUUUAGGAAGUUCUGGAGACCAGACUUUAGAGCAGCAGAAACAUUUGUCAGCAGUUUGAGCAGGAGAAGGUGAGCUUCAGAGUAGAAAUGAGAUGGAAACCUUCUUGACCCGUGUGGUGAGGUCCUGUACCAAGAGUUUGAGCAGGUUGUGAAGAGUCUGUAGUUCUUUGGUCUGAAAGCACAAGAAGAGUCGACUCAUUAAAGGGGAAAACAGGAGAUAUUGUUGGUUCUUCUGUCGCUCUGCAGUUUCCUUAGACUGAAUAUCAAGUUUAUAUUUUAAAUGAUUUCCCAUGUGAGCCCAAGAAGACUUCAAUAAACUCCCUCCAUCCCCU